rnacentral:rRNA from 1 species
AUUGAACGCUGGCGGCAGGCCUAACACAUGCAAGUCGAGCGAGCGGCGGACGGGUGAGUAAUGUAUGGGGACUGCCCGAUAGAGGGGGAUAACUACUGGAAACGGUGGCUAAUACCGCAUACAAUCGGCUACCCCAUAUGGGAUUAGCUAGUAGGUGGGGUAAAGGCUCACCUAGGCGACGAUCCCUAGCUGGUCUGAGCGGAUGAUCAGCCACACGGGGACUGAGACACGGCCCAGACUCCUACGGAGGCAGCAGUGGUGAAGAUUGCACAAUGGGCGCAAGCCUGAUGCAGCCAUGCCGCGUGUAUGAAGAAGGCCUUAGGGUUGUAAAGUACUUUCAGCGGGGAGGCGUUACCCGCAGAAGAAGCACCGGCUAACUCCGUGCCAGCAGCCGCGGUAAUUC